GACGAACGCUGGCGGCGUGCUUAACACAUGCAAGUCGAACGAAGUGGCGAACGGGUGAGUAAUGUGUAAUCAACCUGCCCUUCAGAGGGGGACAACAGUUGGAAACGACUGCUAAUACCGCAUACUGAAUGAGGGGAUUGCGUCUGAUUAGCUAGUUGGAGGGGUAACGGCCCACCAAGGCGAUGAACAGUAGCCGGUCUGGGAGGAUGAACGGGCACAAUGGGACUGGGACACGGCCCAGACUCCUACGGGGAGCAGCAGUGGGGGAACUUCCGACAUGGGGGAAAGGCUGACGGAGCAACGGCGCGUGGGUGAAGACGGCCUUCGGGUUGUAAAGCUCUGUUAAUCGGGGCGCGGUACCGGAAUAGAAAGCCACGGCUAACUACGUGCCAGCCGCCGCGGUAAUUC
rnacentral:rRNA from 1 species